UUUGAUAGCAGCAGUAGUAACAUCGUCAAUAGAUCGGUAUCGCUAUUAGUAAUACGAUUAGCGGCCUCCGUCCCGUAUGCAUCCGAUAGAGUUGUUCCAUACCAGUAUAAUGCCACUAUGUUGGAGAAUGGUCAAGAGGUUUUGUUGCCUAUGACCAAUUCUGUUGUGAACAUUGCCGAUAUAGCAAAGGUGACCCGUAGCGGUCGUGUAUUUGGACCUGUCUUUCUAAAAGAGGUGAUAGAAGGUGACCCGUAACAAAUCUGGUUAGUGCUCCAAAGUGUC
rnacentral:lncRNA from 1 species